UACGUAGGGUGCGAGCGUUAAUCGGAAUUACUGGGCGUAAAGUGUGCGCAGGCGGCCGAGCAAGUCGAGUGUGAAAGCCCCGAGCUUAACUUGGGAACUGCGCUCGAAACUACUUGGCUAGAGUGUGGCAGAGGGAGGUGGAAUUCCACGUGUAGUGGUGGAAUGCGUAGAGAUCCGGAGGAACACCAGCGGCGAAGGCGGCAUCCUGGACUGGUCCUGACACUCAUGAGCGAAAGCGUGGGGAGCGAUCCGG
rnacentral:rRNA from 1 species